GACGAACGCUGGCGGCGCGCUUAACACAUGCAAGUCGAACGGAAAGGCCCUGCUUUUGUGGGGUGCUCGAGUGGCGAACGGGUGAGUAACACGUGAGUAACCUGCCCUUGACUUUGGGAUAACUUCAGGAAACUGGGGCUAAUACCGGAUAGGAGCUCCUGCUGCAUGGUGGGGGUUGGAAAGUUUCGGCGGUUGGGGAUGGACUCGCGGCUUAUCAGCUUGUUGGUGGGGUAGUGGCUUACCAAGGCUUUGACGGGUAGCCGGCCUGAGAGGGUGACCGGCCACAUUGGGACUGAGAUACGGCCCAGACUCCUACGGGAGGCAGCAGUGGGGAAUAUUGCACAAUGGGCGGAAGCCUGAUGCAGCAACGCCGCGUGCGGGAUGACGGCCUUCGGGUUGUAAACCGCUUUCGCCUGUGACGAAGCGUGAGUGACGGUAAUGGGUAAAGAAGCACCGGCUAACUACGUGCCAGCAGCCGCGGUGAUACGUAGGGUGCGAGCGUUGUCCGGAUUUAUUGGGCGUAAAGGGCUCGUAGGUGGUUGAUCGCGUCGGAAGUGUAAUCUUGGGGCUUAACCCUGAGCGUGCUUUCGAUACGGGUUGACUUGAGGAAGGUAGGGGAGAAUGGAAUUCCUGGUGGAGCGGUGGAAUGCGCAGAUAUCAGGAGGAACACCAGUGGCGAAGGCGGUUCUCUGGGCCUUUCCUGACGCUGAGGAGCGAAAGCGUGGGGAGCGAACAGGCUUAGAUACCCUGGUAGUCCACGCUGUAAACGGUGGGUACUAGGUGUGGGGUCCAUUCCACGGGUUCCGUGCCGUAGCUAACGCUUUAAGUACCCCGCCUGGGGAGUACGGCCGCAAGGCUAAAACUCAAAGGAAUUGACGGGGCCCCGCACAAGCGGCGGAGCAUGCGGAUUAAUUCGAUGCAACGCGUAGAACCUUACCUGGGUUUGACAUGGAUCGGGAGCGCUCAGAGAUGGGUGUGCCUCUUUUGGGGUCGGUUCACAGGUGGUGCAUGGCUGUCGUCAGCUCGUGUCGUGAGAUGUUGGGUUAAGUCCCGCAACGAGCGCAACCCUUGUUCACUGUUGCCAGCACGUUAUGGUGGGGACUCAGUGGAGACCGCCGGGGUCAACUCGGAGGAAGGUGGGGAUGACGUCAAGUCAUCAUGCCCCUUAUGUCCAGGGCUUCACGCAUGCUACAAUGGCUGGUACAGAGAGUGGCGAGCCUGUGAGGGUGAGCGAAUCUCGGAAAGCCGGUCUCAGUUCGGAUUGGGGUCUGCAACUCGACCUCAUGAAGUCGGAGUCGCUAGUAAUCGCAGAUCAGCAACGCUGCGGUGAAUACGUUCCCGGG
rnacentral:rRNA from 1 species